UGGGGAAUUUUGGACAAUGGGCGAAAGCCUGAUCCAGCAAUGCCGCGUGUGUGAAGAAGGCCUUCGGGUUGUAAAGCACUUUUGUCCGGAAAGAAAUCCUUGGCUCUAAUACAGUCGGGGGAUGACGGUACCGGAAGAAUAAGCACCGGCUAACUACGUGCCAGCAGCCGCGGUAAUACGUAGGGUGCAAACGUUAAUCGGAAUUACUGGGCGUAAAGCGUGCGCAGGCGGUUUGCUAAGACCGAUGUGAAAUCCCCGGGCUCAACCUGGGAACUGCAUUGGUGACUGGGCAGGCUAGAGUAUGGCAGAGGGGGGUAGAAUUCCACGUGUAGCAGUGAAAUGCGUAGAGAUGUGGAGGAAUACCGAUGGCGAAGGCAGCCCCCUGGGCCAAUACUGACGCUCAUGCACGAAAGCGUGGGGAGCAAACAGGAUUAGAUACCCUGGUAGUCCACGCCCUAAAACGAUGUCAACUAGUUGUUGGGGAUUCAUUUCCUUAGUAACGUAGCUAACGCGUGAAGUUGACCGCCUGGGGAGUACGGUCGCAAGAUUAAAACUUAAAUGAAUUGACGGGGUCAUA
rnacentral:rRNA from 1 species